UCAAGUAAUUAAGUGCAUGUGGUGGAUGCCUUGGCAGUCAGAGGCGAUGAAAGACGUGAUAGCCUGCGAAAAGCUCCGGGGAGGCGGCAAAUAUCCUUUGAUCCGGAGAUGUCUGAAUGGGGGAACCCACCUACUUUAAGGUAGGUAUUGCAACAUGAAUACAUAGUGUUGCAAGGCGAACGAGGGGAAGUGAAACAUCUCAGUACCCUUAGGAAAAGAAAUCAAUUGAGAUUCCCUCAGUAGCGGCGAGCGAACGGGGAUCAGCCCAUUAAGUUAUGUGUGUUUUAGUGGAACGCUCUGGGAAGUGCGAACGUAGAGGGUGAUAUUCCCGUACACGAAAGGGCACACAUAAUGAUGACGAGUAGGGCGAGGCACGUGAAACCUUGUCUGAAUAUGGGGGGACCAUCCUCCAAGGCUAAAUACUCCUGACUGACCGAUAGUGAACCAGUACCGUGAGGGAAAGGCGAAAAGAACCCCUGUGAGGGGAGUGAAAUAGAUCCUGAAACCGCAUGCAUACAAGCAGUGGGAGCACCUUCGUGGUGUGACUGCGUACCUUUUGUAUAAUGGGUCAGCGACUUAUAUUCAGUAGCGAGGUUAACCGUAUAGGGGAGCCGUAGAGAAAUCGAGUCUUAAUAGGGCGUUUAGUUGCUGGGUAUAGACCCGAAACCAGGCGAUCUAUCCAUGAGCAGGUUGAAGGUUGGGUAACACUAACUGGAGGACCGAACCCACUGUCGUUGAAAAGCCAGGGGAUGACUUGUGGAUAGGGGUGAAAGGCUAAUCAAGCCUGGUGAUAGCUGGUUCUCCCCGAAAGCUAUUUAGGUAGCGCCUCGGACGAAUACCAUAGGGGGUAGAGCACUGUUUCGGCUAGGGGGUCAUCCCGACUUACCAAACCGAUGCAAACUCCGAAUACCUAUGAGUACUAUCCGGGAGACAGACUGCGGGUGCUAACGUCCGUAGUCAAGAGGAAAACAAUCCAGACCGCCAGCUAAGGCCCCAAAAUCAUAGUUAAGUGGGAAACGAUGUGGGAAGGCAUAGACAGCUAGGAGGUUGGCUUAGAAGCAGCCACCCUUUAAAGAAAGCGUAAUAGCUCACUAGUCGAGUCGGCCUGCGCGGAAGAUGUAACGGGGCUAAAACUAUGUGCCGAAGCUGCGGAUGUAUACUUUGUAUACGUGGUAGGGGAGCGUUCUGUAAGCCGAUGAAGGUGUGUUGAGAAGCAUGCUGGAGGUAUCAGAAGUGCGAAUGCUGACGUGAGUAACGACAAAACGGGUGAAAAACCCGUUCGCCGAAAGACCAAGGGUUCCAGUCCAACGUUAAUCGGGGCUGGGUGAGUCGACCCCUAAGGCGAGGCCGAAAGGCGUAGUCGAUGGGAAAAUGGUUAAUAUUCCAUUACUUCUGUGUAAUGCGAUGAGAGGACGGAGAAGGCUAAAUCAGCCUGGCGUUGGUUGUCCAGGUGAAAGGAUGUAGGCAUGUAUCUUAGGCAAAUCCGGGGUACUCUAUGCUGAGAUCUGAUAGCAAGCUGUACUUGUACAGCGAAGUGGUUGAUGCCAUGCUUCCAGGAAAAGUCUCUAAGCUUCAGUUACACAGGAAUCGUACCCGAAACCGACACAGGUGGUCAGGUCGAGUAGACCAAGGCGCUUGAGAGAACUCUGCUGAAGGAACUAGGCAAAAUGGUACCGUAACUUCGGGAGAAGGUACGCUGUUGUUGGUGAUGGAACUCGCUUCCUGAGCUGACGACAGCCGCAGAAACCAGGCCGCUGCAACUGUUUAUUAAAAACAUAGCACUCUGCAAACACGAAAGUGGACGUAUAGGGUGUGAUGCCUGCCCGGUGCUGGAAGGUUAAUUGAUGGGGUUAGCGUAAGCGAAGCUCUUGAUCGAAGCCCCAGUAAACGGCGGCCGUAACUAUAACGGUCCUAAGGUAGCGAAAUUCCUUGUCGGGUAAGUUCCGACCUGCACGAAUGGCAUAAUGAUGGCGGCGCUGUCUCCAGCAGAGGCUCAGUGAAAUCGAAAUCGCUGUGAAGAUGCAGUGUACCCGCGGCUAGACGGAAAGACCCCGUGAACCUUUACUGCAGCUUGACACUGAACUUUGACCUUACUUGUGUAGGAUAGGUGGGAGGCUUUGAAGCUGGAACGCUAGUUCCAGUGGAGCCGUCCUUGAAAUACCACCCUGGUAAUGUUGAGGUUCUAACUCUGUCCCGUGAUCCGGGACGAGGACCGUGUCUGGUGGGUAGUUUGACUGGGGCGGUCUCCUCCUAAAGAGUAACGGAGGAGUACGAAGGUGCGCUCAGCGUGGUCGGAAAUCACGCGUAGAGUAUAAAGGCAAAAGCGCGCUUAACUGCGAGACCCACAAGUCGAGCAGGUACGAAAGUAGGUCUUAGUGAUCCGGUGGUUCUGUAUGGAAGGGCCAUCGCUCAACGGAUAAAAGGUACUCUGGGGAUAACAGGCUGAUACCGCCCAAGAGUUCAUAUCGACGGCGGUGUUUGGCACCUCGAUGUCGGCUCAUCUCAUCCUGGGGCUGAAGCAGGUCCCAAGGGUAUGGCUGUUCGCCAUUUAAAGAGGGACGCGAGCUGGGUUUAGAACGUCGUGAGACAGUUCGGUCCCUAUCUACCGUGGGCGCUGGAAAUUUGAGAGGAUCUGCUCCUAGUACGAGAGGACCAGAGUGGACGAACCUCUGGUGUACCGGUUGUGACGCCAGUCGCAUCGCCGGGUAGCUAUGUUCGGAAGGGAUAACCGCUGAAAGCAUCUAAGCGGGAAGCCUACCUCAAGAUAAGAUUUCCCUAGGACUUUAUGUCCUCUAAAGAGCCGUUCGAGACUAGGACGUUGAUAGGUUGGAUGUGGAAGCAUAGUGAUAUGUGAAGCUGACCAAUACUAAUUGCUCGUGAGGCUUGACUAU
rnacentral:rRNA from 2 species